UGCAAAUUUUGGGCUAGACACGUGGGCUUCAAAUCAUCCACAUACAUAAUAGAAGAAGAAGACAAAUUUCACCACUUUUCCUAGAAAUUUCCAAGACCGACCGGUGCUCCUGUUACUUGCCUAUUUUCCAGAGCUUAUCUAUUACAACUCACCCAUGCUAAUCUUUUAUUACAACUCAUGAAGAGGUCUCUCAUAUUGAGAGCUUGGACUAUGAGAUCAAUGAGAAUGAUCUCUUCAAGCAUGACUGGAGAAGCAGAUCAAAAGUCCAAGUAUUGCAGUAUAUUUUCUUAAAAUGGACGCUGGCUUUCCUUGUUAAGCUUCUAACUGGCAUAAUUGCCACGUUCAUCAAUCUUGCAGUCGAGAAUAUUGCAGGGUACAAGCAUCUCUCCGUGGUUCGCUACAUAGAAGAAGAAAGAAAUCAAAGCUUAUCUCAAUGGGGUAGACAUUCCAAACAUGUUCGGUGCUACAACAUUGAUUGUCAAGGUGAGUGACAUUCUACAAUCACUUGGAGAGCACUAUGAAUACUUGUUUCUUACUUAGGAUCAUGUUUUUCAAUUUCUUUUGUUUGCAGAUGUUGGUAUUGGAUUUGUACGUUUGUGUGUUAAAUCAGUGUUUAUUAAUAUGUAUACCUUGCACACAUUGUGUUUGACAA